GGGAUUGCCUUAGUAACGGCGAGUGAAGCGGCAACAGCUCAAAUUUGAAAGCUGGCUCCUUCGGAGUCCGCAUUGUAAUUUGUAGAGGAUGAUUCGGCGAGGGCUCCCGCCUAAGUCCACUGGAACGUGGCGUCAUAGAGGGUGAGAAUCCCGUAUGCGGUGGGUUGCCUUAGCCAUGUGAAUCUCCUUCGACGAGUCGAGUUGUUUGGGAAUGCAGCUCUAAAUGGGAGGUAAAUUUCUUCUAAAGCUAAAUACCGGCCAGAGACCGAUAGCGCACAAGUAGAGUGAUCGAAAGAUGAAAAGCACUUUGGAAAGAGAGUUAAAAAGUACGUGAAAUUGUUGAAAGGGAAGGGCUUGCAACCAGACUUGUCCGCAGUUGCUCAGCCGGUCUCCUGACCGGCGUACUCUUCUGCGGCCAGGCCAGCAUCAGUUCGGGCGGUCGGAUAAAGACCUAGGGAAUGUAGCUCCUCUCGGGGAGUGUUAUAGCCCUGGGUGGAAUGCGGCCAGCCUGGACUGAGGAUCUCGCUUCGGCUAGGAUGCUGGCGUAAUGGUUGUAAGCCGCCCGUCUUGAAACACGGACCAAGGAGUCUAACAUCUAUGCGAGUGUUUGGGUGUCAAACCCAUACGCGUAAUGAAAGUGAACGGAGGUGGGAACCCGCAAGGGCGCACCAUCGGCCGAUCCUGAUGUCUUCGGAUGGAUUUGAGCAAGAGCAUAGCUGUUGGGACCCGAAAGAUGGUGAACUAUGCCUGAAUAGGGUGAAGCCAGAGGAAACUCUGGUGGAGGCUCGCAGCGGUUCUGACGUGCAAAUCGAUCGUCAAAUUUGGGUAUAGGGGCGAAA
rnacentral:rRNA from 1 species